CGCAUCUUGCACUCCAUGGUAUUCCGUGGAGUAUGCCUGUUCGAGUGUCACGUCAACCCUCACCCUUGUGAUGUCAAAGUCGCUUGAGGUGGAUUUGGACCGUGCCGUAGUUGGCUCGUCCUGAAAUGCAUUAGCUUGCGCUUUUAGAGUGCCGGGCACAGGUGUGAUAAUUAUCCGCGCCGCCGCUCAAGCCUCUUCAGUGGUGCUGCUUAUAGUCGUCCCGACGGACAUUAUUAAAGCUUUGGCCUCGAAUCAGGUAGGAUUACCCGCUGAACUUAA
rnacentral:misc_RNA from 1 species